CGUAGCUCAACUGGAUAGAGCGUCUGACUACGGAUCAGAAGGUUGGGGGUUCAAAUCCCUCCGGGUG
rnacentral:tRNA from 1 species